rnacentral:rRNA from 1 species
UACAGAGGGGGCAAGCGUUGUUCGGAAUUACUGGGCGUAAAGGGCGCGUAGGCGGCCUUCUAAGUCGAACGUGAAAUCCCUGGGCUCAACCCAGGAACUGCGUCCGAUACUGGAAGGCUUGAAUCCGGGAGAGGGAUGCGGAAUUCCAGGUGUAGCGGUGAAAUGCGUAGAUAUCUGGAGGAACACCGGUGGCGAAGGCGGCAUCCUGGACCGGCAUUGACGCUGAGGCGCGAAAGCCAGGGGAGCGAACAGG